GGUGGUUCAGUGGUAGAGUGCUUGCCUUACAAGCAUGAGGUCCUGGGUUCGAUUCCUCAGCACCA
rnacentral:tRNA from 1 species